AUUCAUUCUUCAAAAAUCAAUCUCUCUCUCUAUACUCUCCAAACAGUCGGCAUCCGGCGCCGAUCGGCCUUCUUCUCCGGCCAUUCAGUUGCCGCCGCGUUCUACAAAUCCGGCGAGUAGUCGUUCGUCCUCCUCCCUUCUCUCAUCAGUUACCACCCAGACCCGCCUCUCGCUCUCUCACGGCUCGGUUUCUUCCCCCCAUCUCUGACUCCGGCGAAGUCCAACAUCCGCCGCCGCUGUUGCGCCUGUAAUCGUCCACUGAAGUCGCCGCCGUCUGGAGUUGCCGCCACCGUCGCCAGCUGGAGCCUCGGCAGCCGCUGCCUCUCCUGGAAUUGCUGCCGUUGCUGCUGCUCUGGAGUUGGCGAGAGACGGCAGAACAGCUGCUGCCGAC
rnacentral:lncRNA from 1 species